rnacentral:misc_RNA from 1 species
AAGUCGUAACAAGGUUUCCGUAGGUGAACCUGCGGAAGGAUCAUCAUUAGAGGGUUAGAGAGGGGGAGAAUGACUGGAGAUAGCUCUGUCUAGAUAGAUUGUGAUGUGGAUGAUUGGGAAAAGGGCGAGGGGGAAGAGAAAAAAAAAAAGGGUUUUUGGGUGGGUUUCUGCUCGGAACUCUCUCUCUUGUCUGACCGGUCAAAAACUCGCAAUUGGAUGGGGAGGUCUUUUGACCAGGCCGGUAGGCCGCAUCCACGGGAUUCUCUCUGGCCAGAGACCCGAUGGAUUGUGGAUGAUUUCACACGGAUAUGACGAUAUAUGGAUGAGCAUUAUCAUUAUUUAUAAUGGAUGCCCAUUGAACAGGAUGUUGCCACCGAGUUAACACUCGUGGUUGAAGCAGAAAAAAACUUUUGGCAACGGAUCUCUUGGCUCCCC